rnacentral:rRNA from 1 species
CCUACGGGAGGCAGCAGUGAGGAAUAUUGGUCAAUGGGCGUACGCCUGAACCAGCCAAGUCGCGUGAGGGAAGACGGCCCUACGGGUUGUAAACCUCUUUUGCCAGGGAGCAACGCCGGCUACGUGUACCCGCGCUGAGAGUACCCGAAGAAAAAGCAUCGGCUAACUCCGUGCCAGCAGCCGCGGUAAUACGGAGGAUGCGAGCGUUAUCCGGAUUUAUUGGGUUUAAAGGGUGCGUAGGCGGGAUGCUAAGUCAGCGGUAAAAUUGCGGGGCUCAACCUCGUCCAGCCGUUGAAACUGGCGUUCUUGAGUGGGCGAGAAGUAUGCGGAAUGCGGGGUGUAGCGGUGAAAUGCAUAGAUAUCACGCAGAACUCCGAUUGCGAAGGCAGCAUACCGGCGCUCUACUGACGCUGAUGCACGAAAGUGUGGGUAUCGAACAGGAUUAGAUACCCGUGUAGUC